AGCGCGUGAGGGGACUGGGGCGCAGUCGCCGCCCUGCUUAGGACGCGCGCCUGAGGGCACACGGGGAACUCGAAAACAUGAUUGUACUUGAGAAAGUUACUAACAACUUCCCGAUAUCAUCCAAGAACAUGAGCUGCAGGUUUUCACACCUUAAACUGAGGCUGUCUUUGUAUCUCCAAGUGGACCUGCUCAGGAGACAUCAACAACCCUCACACGCAUUAGGAAGGCCUCUGACCUUGGAGUCUAGCAAAUCCUGAUCUUAAAAUCUUCAGUGGAGCUGCUGUGAGCAUCUUCCAGUCAACUCAGACCCCAGCUGGAGGGGAUGUCAGCGU
ensembl:lncRNA